rnacentral:lncRNA from 1 species
GCACAAAAUUCCUAGGUUUUAGGCUGCCUCUGGCUCUUGUGUUCAUCUGAGAACCAGAGUAGCAGUUGAAGUUUUCCUCCCCACCCCAUCAGUUUGAGUUCCUAUCCUCAUUGACCUGUGUAUUGUGGCUCUCUCUGUGCCCUCUAUUAUUGCCCAGCAGCUUCAUUGUUGCCAGAAGUCUGCCUAUGUUGCUUUGAUUUGUUCUUGGCUGUCUUAGAGGAUAAAGAAGAUUGUUUCAGGCUGACUCCAGCUGAACCUGGGAGUGCUGAGACUGUGGCUACAAACAAUUGCAAAUGGAUUUUCCCUGCCUGGGUCGCUGUGGUUAUGGAGCAGCAGCCAGCCUAGAG